CCGCCCGUCACACUAUGGGAGCUAGCCAUGCCCAAAGUCGUUACCUUAACCCCAAGGAGGGGGAUGCCGAAGGCAGGGCUAGUGAUUGGAGUGAAGUCGUAACAAG
rfam:Punica granatum cultivar Dabenzi scaffold96, whole genome shotgun sequence.